AGUUUGAUCCUGGCUCAGAACGAACGCUGGCGGCAUGCCUAACACAUGCAAGUCGAACGAGACCUUCGGGUCUAGUGGCGCACGGGUGCGUAACGCGUGGGAAUCUGCCCUUGGGUUCGGAAUAACAGUUAGAAAUGACUGCUAAUACCGGAUAAUGUCUUCGGACCAAAGAUUUAUCGCCCAGGGAUGAGCCCGCGUAGGAUUAGCUAGUUGGUGAGGUAAAGGCUCACCAAGGCGACGAUCCUUAGCUGGUCUGAGAGGAUGAUCAGCCACACUGGGACUGAGACACGGCCCAGACUCCUACGGGAGGCAGCAGUGGGGAAUAUUGGACAAUGGGCGAAAGCCUGAUCCAGCAAUGCCGCGUGAGUGAUGGAGGCCUUAGGGUUGUAAAGCUCUUUUACCCGGGAUGAUAAUGACAGUACCGGGAGAAUAAGCCCCGGCUAACUCCGUG
rnacentral:rRNA from 1 species